rnacentral:rRNA from 2 species
UGGGGAAUAUUGCACAAUGGAGGGAACUCUGAUGCAGCGACGCCGCGUGAACGAAGAAGGCUUUCGAGUCGAAAAGUUCUUUUAUAUGGGAAGAUAAUGACGGUACCAUAAGAAAAAGCCCCGGCUAACUACGUGCCAGCAGCCGCGGUAAUACGUAGGGGGCUAGCGUUGUCCGGAAUCACUGGGCGUAAAGGGUUCGCAGGCGGAAAUGCAAGUCAGGUGUAAAAGGCAGUAGCUUAACUACUGUAAGCAUUUGAAACUGCAUAUCUUGAGAAGAGUAGAGGUAAGUGGAAUUUUUAGUGUAGCGGUGAAAUGCGUAGAUAUUAAAAAGAAUACCGGUGGCGAAGGCGACUUACUGGGCUCAUUCUGACGCUGAGGAACGAAAGCGUGGGUAGCAAACAGG